rnacentral:lncRNA from 13 species
AUGAUCUCUCUGCUGGCCCUUGCUCCCAUUCCCCUCUUUCCCAGUUCCUCACCCUGCACUCUCCCUUUACAUUUUCUUUUCUUGCCCCUGAAUAUUCCCUCCAUAAUUGCAAGAUGCCUCCUUUCAGGGACCAGCUGUCUUCUCCAUGAAGCCUACCCUGAUUCUCCCACGGAGACGGCUGGCUCCCUUUUCCGAACUCCCACAACAUUUUGUCCAAACGGUGUUGGAAGCCACUGGGACUCCCAAAGAACAAGAUCUAAGCUGAAGGCACCGUCACCACCCCCACCAGUGCCUGACAUGGAAGGAGUGCCACACAUGCCCACUCUGAAUGCUGGACCAGCAGGAACCUGGAAUGAAUACUCUGGAGCUCACUGUGGGGGACCAAAAGUUGUGACCACAGUCAGAGACCUGGUCUGUCCAGACAGAAACACGAGGAAGCAGAGGAAGCUGUUGGUGGAAAGAUGAGUGUGAAAGACGCAGUGAGAAAGACAAGAAGAGGGGAGGCCGGGCAGAGGGUGGCGGCCGCCAUUCUCAAUGCCAUCCAGCCCAGCAUUGUUCCUGUAGGGCCUAGAUGUGUAUCUUGCUGUUGAAUGUCAUAAAUCGUCCUCUGUUCUUUAUAUUUGAGUUACUGUGUCUGAGUUUUUCUUUCUGGAAACCAGGUGAGUUGCUAUUAAAAUAAAGUGCCC